AAUAAAUCUGACAACAGACAAAAGAGAUUGUGUAUCAGUAUAUGUUAUAAUAUAUGGGGGGGAAAAGCACUUUUAGGAUUCCUUUUCAUGCUUUAAUUGUCACUCUCGGUUCUGGAUCAACAAAAAACCCAGUUUGAUCCUUCAAUCACAGCUCUGCUUUAUUACACUCAAGGCUCUAAAACUGUCCAGAGAACUUUCAUUUUCAAGCAGCUGUCCAAAUAAGCACAGCCUGUAUUUGAUAAUGACACAAGUAUAAGUGACCUUCCUUCUAAUUCAACAGCAGCAGAAAUUACAGCCUUUCUGUCACUGAAGGGGAAUGAUAUAAGUAAGAGUUCACAGUACACAGAUAAUUAAUUAUAUCAAACAAACCUUCAGGAAAAUGCCAAUGAAUAAUGACUUCCUAAACUUUAGAGAGAGAAAAGAUUUUAGCAGUCAACACAUGUUAUCUUCUAAAAAUUAAUCUUUCACAAGAGAAAAUAUCAAGAAACCAUUCAAGUUCUUUUUAUUGGUACCCACCAAACAAAAAAACACCUGAAAUUCUGUUCUUUUUGCAAUGUAUUGCAGCAUGUUACAUGUAUUGUAACGUUUCUCUCUUAUUUCUGGAUCAGUUGGCCCCUUGAGAUACUAACCUUCAACUUACAACAAUUCUUUCCCUGCUAUUAAUGAAAUUAAAAACUAUUGAUAAACGCAAAAGACAUAAUGCUUAAAAGCUUUAAUCAAAAAUUAAAAUCCCAAGACCCUGGGAAAAUUCAUUUUAUGAAGGGAAUUGAAUAGAUUUUAGAGGCUGACUGUGGGCUUCAGAACAUAUUUUUAUAGGUCAUCGGUUCAAACCUGUUUUACUUGAGCAGAGACCAGGAUUUGUUAGUCAUCAGAUGGCAGUCAAAAAAAUCUUCACUGGCAGUGUGGUUGAUGUCUCUUCACACAGACAAUAUGACAUUUCAGCAUUUAGCUGACAAUAAACUGGGACUUCAAUAAGUUCCAUAUUGUAUUUUUUGAACUGACAAAACCAGGACUUGAUAGACCACAUGCUCCUUCCUGGUCUAUCGUACUUUUCCAUUAGAAAAGACCAUCGGUUCCCUAAUGGAAAUGCCUCCUCCUUUUCAUACAUGCUAGAAAGAAAAUAUAUUUAGAAGAACAAACUACCUCAGACUACUGGAGGAAAUUCAUGCAUUGUACAUCAGUAUAAAAAUAAGUUUUGGGUGUCAGUAUAAGAACUGUAGAGAGUUCCAGACAGAUAAGAUACAGAAAAUUAAAAUAACAUCAAAGAAAGGCUAUGAAGUUUCAAAGCAAACUGCUUGUUUUCCACCACUCUACCUGCCAGUUUUAUUUUGCUGUACUUUUUAAGAGGGAAAAUCUCUAGUCUAGCAAAGCCACGACUAAAACAUGGGUCAGAAUUCAUUCUCAUGCAGUCCCUGGCCGCUGUGCUGUUAAAUGACCAAUGAUGAACAACCCUGACACCUUCUGCCAGGCUUAAACGGUAACAUGACUCAUUUUACUGCAACAAAUGAGACUCCUCCUCCUAUCAGUCAUGGUCCAUUCCAAUCAGCGGGGUGCCAAUAUGCCAGGGUCUAAUGAAAAGGCUCUUAGACAAAAGCUGCACAAUUGAGAGCCUGCAGAGCCAAACCUCAGAGCUGUUAGUCCAAUUUUUUAAACACUACAGUGUACAUUUCAGUUAGGCUUUGUUAUGUUAAUGUUAUUGAGUCUAAAGCAACAAAGAAACUUAAUUCAUGAAUUACUUUUAGAAGUCAACUUCCCUACAUUUUCUUUUCUUUUGUGAAGGGACCAGUGGCUAUUUAACUACCGAGAGGGUACAAAGGCCUUUACCCCAGUGCUGAGGUAGGAAUCAAAACAUAAGUUAUCACAAAGAGGUCUGAUAUAAUCAACAAAGUUAAACAGUCCUCCUGUUUGAUCUCCUCUAAAUUAAAGACCAAGUGUUUUGAUUUGGCAUUAGGCAAUGAAAUAAACCAGAUGUUUCUCCUGCCAUAUAACCCUCCAUGGGCACAAUCUUAAAGGGUUAUUGUUUGGCAAAUGUUCAGGGAAACACAUUAGAAAUGGCACGAAUACCCAGAUUUUCUUUUCUUUCUAUCUAUACUAGUUCAUUAUCCAAACUAAUGCAUAAUCCACAGGGCUUUGGGAACUUUGUGUAAAUACUUUCAUGUACAAUUCUCUUUCUUGCCUACCCUGAGAUUAAGACCACAAUUAUCCAGGCUUAAACCUAAAAUAAAAGAACCUUUGCAAAUGUAUUAUCUGGCCUUACAUGUUUAAUCACAUACUAUUCUGUAUGGUCUUUAAUACCUAAACUGAAGAACAAAUGUCGUAUCCUCUGAUGUUUCGCACAUGAAAGGCCUAUUGUCAGAUGUACAUCAACAGAAUUUUAGAACUAGAAAUUCCUCUCAACAAUUGCAGUGGCAGCAUUUAAAAUCCCAACAGAAAGGAACAGAGUGUCAUCUUAAGAGGGGGGAAAAAAAAGGCAAGACAAUUGCAGUAUUUAAACAAAACUUUGUUCAAACAGAAGAAUAUUCUUGAUUUACUAGCCAUCAGAAUUCAUGUGUGCCAGCUUCACCUGCAGGAGAGCCCACCUCCCUCCUCUGCACAGCCCCGAGCUGUGCUCCCUGCUGAACGAGCCCGAGGAGUGUGCGGGGUGCGCGUGGUGCGGGGGAAGCAGAUGGAUGAGGCGAGGGAUUUGAAGUGUGCAGACUAUGGCAUGCACUGAUAGAGCAGAUGGAAUGCAUCACCAUCAGCUAUGACAGAAAUGAUUUAUGGAAUGACCUGGCUGCUCCUGCCAAGCAACAACACGGGAUGACAGAAACAAGUUUCUAUGACAACCAGGGCCCACCCACCAGUUAGAUUAAACAUUUCUGCCCUGACUUCCACUCGCAAUAUAUUUAGAGUUUUUCCUCAAAACAUCAGCCUGGCUUUCUCAGCUAGUGACUUGGACAAAAAUACCUGAAGGGACGAGAAAAACCAUUUAGAAAAGGAAAGCAGUGGAAAAUGUCACAAAGUCCUGCAGGUCUAACUGGCCAGUCUCAAACAGACAACAAGAGAGUGUUAACUGCCCUCUGGACUCCAGAAUUGUUAUCUGCUUGCUGAAUCCCCAAAAGCAACAGGGACAUUUUUCUCCUCAAAGCCGGCAGGUCAGAGUUCUCCUCCCCAAUAUGGACAUUACAGACAUUAUCAGAUCUGGUAAUCUUCUAACAUAUGACCCUCUGAGGGAUGCAAGGGUAACAGGAGCUGCAUGGAUAUGCACAUUUGCAUUCACUGGUAUGAGGUGAGGGAUGCAGAACCCAACGCAGGAAUGGUCCUUCAGGGCUGCAAAGUAGUCAUUUCUACCCUUUAUAUCAGACUUAGUCUCCCUCUUUCCUCCAUACAGGAAACAGAAAAGUGCUUCCCCAGCCACCAUUCCCAACCCUGAAAUUUCUGCUGCUCUUUCCUAAAAAGUACAUCUGAUUGUAUUAAUGAAACAAUAACUGCUGUAUGCAUGCAUAUGGAAACAGAGCUCACAGCAGACUGAAGAUAUUUGCCAUGUUUCAAAUUAUUCCAGCAAGAGUUAAGAGUUUAAAUUUACGCAUAUACAACAUUUUAAAGGCUGUUCCAUAAAAUACAGCUAUACAACAGACCAUUCAAAACCUCUCAGUUUUAUAAGGCCACUAAGAAAACAUUUUAAACCUUGAGGCAGGAACUGCUCUAAGAGUAACAUUAAAAAUAUUUGGCUUUAAAUAGAACACUACAGAAAAAAAUUAAAAAUAAAUCCCUUAACUUUUUAUGAUUAUCUUUUACUCUGUCUAACCAACUUUUUAAACUGUAUCUGCCCUAAAUUUUUUGAUCACCUGAAGAAAAAGGAAGUCUGAGUGACUACAAAUAAAUGCAUUUUUCACUUGCUUUUAAAAAGGCAUUUUUCUAGUAUAUGAAAUUGUAUUGUAGUACACUGUUUUAAGUUCAUACAUGAAAACUCCUGAUUUGAUAUUAUAAAAUCAAUGAUGCAUAAAUAACGGAUGCAGUGAUCUAAAUAUGUGUUUCAGAUCUGAAUAUUCUAACUGCUACUUACAGAUGCCAAUGCCUUUCCAAGUGCAUCACCUGUCUGUGAGCUUCCAGCACCAUUUCCUCUGUUUCCUGUAAUGUGGAAAGCAAACCCAACACUUAUUUUUAAAGCUGAAAUUUUAUUUACUUUUAUUAUUUUAUUCAUCACAUAGAGUUAAGCAACCACUUUUUAAAUGGAUUUUCUGAGGAAGUCAGUGUCAAUAGAAUCAGUUCUCAUUAGACUUAAAAAUUUAAUUAAAACAAUUAGAUUUACAUUUAGAUGGUCUCCUCUUUAAAGUCAAACACAGUAUCACCGUGAUAACUUAAGAACCAACAAGUGAAAGCAGUUUAAAAAAAGACAAAUUAUUUUCUAGGAUCACAGUCUAAUUUUAAUGAAAUGUGAAAAGAAAAAUCAAAAUCAGAAAAUCACAUUAUUGCAGCUUAUUUCUAAACUGUUAUCACUAAAGUGCUGCAUGUUUAAUUAAUUCUUAAAGCCAAAUUCACAGAAUAGUUCCUUGUGUGCCUCCCUGCUCCCCCUGCUCUAAUUCCCAGUGUUGUACUCUCAUCUUUAUUUUAAAAUGUCCCUGAAAAGCUCUUAUCCACCACGCUUUCUGUCAUCCCUGCUCUUAGUUGCAUGUCAGCAGCUUUGCGUGCCCUUUUGCUCCACACACCAUUAAGCCAAGAGGAAGUCUGAAGCCCUGCCAAUUGGAAACACAGAGAGGAACUGAAUCCUCCGAAAUAUCUGCUUUGCUGGAGAAGACAGAUCCUUUAAAAGCAAAUCCUCUUUCUCCAAUUAUCAACUUCUAAAGCCAAAAAAAAAAAAAUGUAUUUAACAUGAAUGUAAGCAAUUCACGUCAGAAAUCCAAACAACACAACGCUUGUUGUUGCAACUUUGUGGCAAACUUGCAUUUUCCAGCCUGAAUCUCCCAUGUAGAUUCAUUAACAGGGUUCUGUUUAAAGAUCUUAGUGUAAAACAUGUUCCCAACUCAAAGUCAAUAUAGUCCCCUAACUAAGUGCAAAUCAUAUCGAACUGAUAAGGGGCAUCCACGACAUUUGAUUUUUACAGUAGUAUCUGAAGAGGUGCAACUAUGUGCAAGGCACAGUUGAUCAGCCUGUAUUUCGUGCUCCCUAGGUGAGCACAGAGGAGACUAAACCAGCCACCAUCCUGGCUACUCAGUAAUCUCUAAAACAGUUAAGAGAGGAAUUUACGAUGCACUUUAUUGAGCUCCCCAAAGGAACAGCCUUCCUGCCUUUCUCUGGCAGUGCUUUGGUGACACAGCAGCUCUGAAACCUUUAACACCAGCACUACCUAAAGGGACACGUGCAUGCACUGAACUACAGAAGGAGAACUGCUGUUAGGUCAGAUGGAUGCAAUCCCUGAGCAGAGGAUUGCCUGGGAAAGCAAGUAAACCAGUACGUCUUAAGCUGACUGAGAAAUGGUUUGCCUGAUCUCGGCCAUCCUGAGGACAGAAAUAUCACAGUGGUGAAUCUCCCCUGAUCUACAAGCAGGCCAUACCUUAAACCUCACUCAUUUUGUGCGUCAUGGAGCCCUAAAUUUCAUUGUCUUGUAAAAUAAAAAGAAAAAAAAAAAGUCAGGAAGAACAUUUUACCCAGAAUAUUAUCUGAUCCAUUGACAGGUGGAGUGUGUGAGGCAGCUACAUAAGGUGAACUGCUGGUACUGCCACGGUGGAAGCUGGACAUUGGAGGAAGACUGGCAUUUAUAUCUGUAGGUGAGACUGAAUGCGGGGGAUAGCUCUGGAAAGAAGAGAAACAGGGAUAAGACAUUAAGUAGUCCUUAAAUAAAUGUUGAUAUUUUAACAUACCGAAUAUACAACACCCACUUCUUUAUUACAGAAGGAAGGGACUCAUCCAUCCUCUGAACAGACCACUACACGGCCACAGAUCUUUAUUUAUACAACAGACAUAACUAAAAGGACAUAAAUCUAAUACACGAAGUUUGAGAUUUCCAACGACUGGGCUUUUAAGUGACACACAAGAGCAGCAAACAAGAAGUUAAUUCUUGCAAGUUAGAUCUCCAUACUCAAGUCUAAACAGAUUAAUCCGUGCUGUGUGUCUUACCAGACGGUCAUGUGUGUGCAGGCUGCCGUAACUGCCGGACUGGGACAUGUGGGAAGAGGAGCCUCCCAGCAUCCCACCAUAGCCAGGUUGGCUCAUGCCAUUGGAUGAACUCCAGAGGUCAGAAGAAUUGUGGGUCCCAUCUUUUUUUUAAAAUAUUUUUUAAUUAAAAAAAGAAAAACAAGAAAAAUACAUUUAAUGAAGAAGA